rnacentral:rRNA from 1 species
UACAGAGGUCUCAAGCGUUGUUCGGAUUCAUUGGGCGUAAAGGGUGCGUAGGUGGCGCCGUAAGUCAGGUGUGAAAUUUCGAGGCUUAACCUCGAAACUGCAUUUGAUACUGCGGUGCUUGAGGACUGGAGAGGAGACUGGAAUUCCUGGUGUAGCGGUGAAAUGCGCAGAUAUCAGGAGGAACACCGAUGGCGAAGGCAGCUCGCUGGGACGGUACUGACGCUGAGGCGCGAAAGCGUGGGGAGCAAACAGG